rnacentral:rRNA from 1 species
UACGUAGGGUGCAAGCGUUAAUCGGAAUUACUGGGCGUAAAGCGUGCGCAGGCGGUUAUGUCAGACAGAUGUGAAAUCCCCGGGCUCAACCUGGGAACUGCAUUUGUGACUGCAUGGCUAGAGUACGGUAGAGGGGGAUGGAAUUCCGCGUGUAGCAGUGAAAUGCGUAGAUAUGCGGAGGAACACCGAUGGCGAAGGCAAUCCCCUGGACCUGUACUGACGCUCAUGCACGAAAGCGUGGGGAGCAAACAGG